UGGGGAAUAUUGGACAAUGGGCGAAAGCCUGAUCCAGCCAUGCCGCGUGUGUGAAGAAGGUCUUCGGAUUGUAAAGCACUUUAAGUUGGGAGGAAGGGCAGUAAGUUAAUACCUUGCUGCUUUGACGUUACCGACAGAAUAAGCACCGGCUAACUCUGUGCCAGCAGCCGCGGGAAUACAGAGGGUGCAAGCGUUAAUCGGAAUUACUGGGCGUAAAUCGCGCGUAGGUGGUUUGUUAAGUUGGAUGUGAAAGCCCCGGGCUCAACCUGGGAACUGCAUCCAAAACUGGCAAGCUAGAGUACGGUAGAGGGUGGUGGAAUUUCCUGUGUAGCGGUGAAAUGCGUAGAUAUAGGAAGGAACACCAGUGGCGAAGGCGACCACCUGGACUGAUACUGACACUGAGGUGCGAAAGCGUGGGGAGCAAACA
rnacentral:rRNA from 1 species